rnacentral:rRNA from 1 species
GACGAACGCUGGCGGCGUGCUUAACACAUGCAAGUCGAACGGAAAGGCCCCUUCGGGGGUACUCGAGUGGCGAACAGGUGAGUAACACGUGAGUAACCUGCCCUUGACUUCGGGAUAACUUCAGGAAACUGGGGCUAAUACCGGAUAGGAAUCCUUGCUGCAUGGUGGGGGUUGGAAAGCUUCGGCGGUUUUGGAUGGACUCGCGGCUUAUCAGCUUGUUGGUGGGGUAGUGGCUUACCAAGGCUUUGACGGGUAGCCGGCCUGAGAGGGCGACCGGCCACAUUGGGACUGAGAUACGGCCCAGACUCCUACGGGAGGCAGCAGUGGGGAAUAUUGCACAAUGGGCGGAAGCCUGAUGCAGCAACGCCGCGGGCGGGAUGACGGCCUUCGGGUUGGAAACCGCUUUCAGCAGGGGCGAAGCUUGUGGUGACGGUACCUGCAGAAGAAGCACCGGCUAACUACGUG